AGAACGAACGCUGGCGGCAUGCCUAACACAUGCAAGUCGAACGAGACCUUCGGGUCUAGUGGCGCACGGGUGCGUAACGCGUGGGAAUCUGCCCUUGGGUUCGGGAUAACAGUUGGAAACGACUGCUAAUACCGGAUGAUGUCUUCGGACCAAAGAUUUAUCCGCCCAAGGAUGAGCCCGCGUAGGAUUAGCUAGUUGGUGAGGUAAGAGCUCACCGAAGGCGACGAUCCUUAGCUGGUCUGAGAGGAUGAUCGAGCCACACGUGGACUGAGACACGGACCCAGACCUCCGUACGGGACGGCGAGCGAGGUGGGGAAUAGUUGGACAAGUCGGGACGAAA
rnacentral:rRNA from 1 species